rnacentral:rRNA from 1 species
UACAGAGGGUGCAAGCGUUAAUCGGAAUUACUGGGCGUAAAGCGUGCGUAGUCGGUUAUCUAAGUCGGGUGUGAAAUCCCCGGGCUCAACCUGGGAAUUGCAUUCGAUACUGGAUAGCUAGAGUUCGGCAGAGGGAAGCGGAAUUUCGGGUGUAGCGGUGAAAUGCGUAGAUAUCCGAAGGAACAUCAGUGGCGAAAGCGGCUUACUGGUCCGGUUCUGACGCUGAGGCGCGAAAGCGUGGGGAGCAAACAGG